rnacentral:rRNA from 1 species
GACGAACGCUGGCGGCGUGCUUAACACAUGCCAGUCGAACGGAAAGGCCCUGCUUUUGUGGGGUGCUCGAGUGGCGAACGGGUGAGUAACACGUGAGUAACCUGCCCUUGACUUUGGGAUAACUUCAGGAAACUGGGGCUAAUACCGGAUAGGAGCUCCUGCUGCAUGGUGGGGGUUGGAAAGUUUCGGCGGUUGGGGACGGACUCGCGGCUUAUCAGCUUGCUGGUGGGGUAGUGGCUUACCAAGGCUUCGCCGGGUAGCCGGCCUGGGAGGGUGACCGGCGACAUGGGGACUGGGAUACGGCCGGGAGUCCUGCGGGAGGCAGCAGUGGGGAAUAGUGCACAAGGGGCGGAAGCCGGAGGCAGCAAGGCCGCGUGGGGGAUGACGGCCGUGGGGUUGUAGACCGCUUGGGCCUGUGACGAAGCGUGAGUGACGGUAAUGGGUAAAGAAGCACCGGCUAACGACGUG